rnacentral:rRNA from 1 species
GACGAACGCUGGCGGCGUGCCUAAUACAUGCAAGUAGAACGCACAGUUUAUACCGUAGCUUGCUACACCAUAGACUGUGAGUUGCGAACGGGUGAGUAACGCGUAGGUAACCCGCCUGGUAGCGGGGGGUAACUAUUGGAAACGAUAGCUAAUACCGCAUAAUAUUGAUUAUUGCAUGAUAAUUAAUUGAAAGGUGCAAUUGCACCACUACCAGAUGGACCUGCGUUGUAUUAGCUAGUAGGUGAGGUAACGGCUCACCUAGGCGACGAUACAUAGCCGACCUGAGAGGGUGAUCGGCCACACUGGGACUGAGACACGUCCCAGACUCCUACGGGAGGCAGCAGUAGGGAAUCUUCGGCAAUGGACGAAAGGCUGACCGAGCAACGCCGCGUGAGUGAAGAAGGUUUUCGGAUCGUAAAGCUCUGUUGUAAGAGAAGAACGGGUGUGAGAGUGGAAAGUUCACACUGUGACGGUAUCUUACCAGAAAGGGACGGCUAACUACGUG